rnacentral:rRNA from 1 species
UACAGAGGAGCCAAGCGUUGUCCGGAUUGACUGGGCGUAAAGCGCACGCAGGCGGUCGCGCGCGUGGGGUGUGAAAUCUGGCCGCUUAACGGCCAGGCGCCAUCCCAUACGGCGCGACUGGAGUGAUGCGAGAGGUCGGUGGAAUUGCCGGUGUAGUGGUGAAAUGCGUAGGAGAUCGGCAGGAACACCCAGGGGGGAAACCAGCCCGGACUGGGCAUCUACUGACGCUGAGGUGCGAGAGCGGUGGGGAGCGAACCGGAUUAAGAAACCCUGGU